UCAUUUUUUCCAGAUGUUUUACCUAAUAAAUCAAGGAGUCUCAUCAGAGGAUUGGGAUCCAAAAGCUGUUACCAUGACUUCAAAGGCACAGGCUGGAGUGGAAAGAAGUGGUGCAGACAUUUUAUACCACUCUGUAUGCACUGAUCAUGGAAAUACACUCUGCUCCCAGGAUUUUUUUCCUGUGGAUAUGAGAACUCCAACCAUGAUUAAAUAAAAUGGUGCUGUGCUCCUUCAGCCAACCUUUGCUGAAAAGAAUGGAGCUGCAGGAGCCUCGGGCUGGGGCUGGUCCUGAGAGGGGCUGAGCUCUGUCAGCCCCUGUCCAAAAUCCAGGACCAUUAACUCAGGGUUGAACUCGCUCCAUCUUUUCAGAUCAAUAUCCAACUGCGUAUUUUCUCCCAGUGCUGGUUUAAGCAAUUCCCACAUAAAGGAAUCAGAUGUUCAUCUUCUUCAGAUGUUGGGAGAGAAAAAGAUAAAAAGAGUUACAUGGCUGUAAAAUGUGAUUGUGACUAUUCAGACCAGUUUGUUCCUUGAUCAAGAAUGUAACUUCUUUUUUUUUAAUGUAGUGAAGGCUUGCUUUUUACAGUGUCUACAUGGUGUCAUUUUCUUUUGCAGUUCCAUUUCUAAAGAUAACUGUGUUUGGAGAAGCUGUUACGUGUUUCUGUCACUCCAUAGCACAGGGUGCUGCAGGAGAACAGAAUGAAGAAAAGCAGCUGAAGAAAGGAAAGCUGAUCCUCUGGCAGUGAGGAGCGAGAGGGCAUUUGGUUCUGCAAGAUAUUUAAGCAGAUCUGAAAACCUCACCCUGGUGGUUUAGGAAGAGGUGAUGUUCCCCUGCAGCCAGGUGGAAGGAAGCUCCAGGAGUAAUCUCCUGUGUUCUAAUGACUUCAGAAAAAUUGCUGCUUGUCUUCCCACCCCCACGAGGCUGAAUCCCAGCACCCCAGAUUGUCGUGACUGCCUGGGAUUGGUGACAUCUCCAGUGAAAUGUGUUGGAGCAUCCAAACAGAGUGGGAGAAGCACAGCCUGGCUCUGGGAGCCAAAAAUAGGUACUACCACUUGUGAGCUGAAGCCUCCCUUCUCCUUCCCCACCCAGCCCUGCCUCUCUGGCACGUGCAGCACAUAAUCAUGGUGUUCCCAUCAGACCAAAGGAAAACCACAUCCCUAAAGCAAGCAGGGCAUUCAGUGGUGACCAUGCUUUGGAGGCAGAGAACGUUGGAACAUGGAUUCUAAAUUAGGGAACAUCAGUGGUGAUGAUUUGCAGAUUUUCUGUGGAGAAUGGGUACAGAAAGGAGCACGGCUCAUCUCCUGCAGUGCCAUGUGGAAAAGCAUCAGAGGUACACCAUAAAAUGGGGAGCUUGAAUUCCCUUCAUUGCACAGUUGCUCAAAGGCUUGUAAUUGAAUGAGUGAGUGAUGAAUGUAGCACAUUGGAUUUCUCCCUGAAUCCUUUCUCUCUUUUAUUCUGUGACUGAAUCUCAGUCAUGCUUUCACCUGUUUUUUUUUAAGUCUGCCCAUUGGAGUAUUUGUCCACUUCUGCCAAACCCCAAAAGCUCCAUUUCAUUAAAAAAAAGAGAUCAUUUGGGAAGGGUGAAGUUUGAUUCACAAAGAUAAUGCUCUUUGAAGGUGUCUGCUCCUUUGGCAGUGACUGAUUCAAAGGAGUUCCAUUUCAGAAUGUCUGUUCUGCUGCUCCCAAGGCUGCACAGAGGAGGAGGGAUUGUGCGAGGCCAUAUAAAUCAGGGGCUGUUACAGGGAUGUCAAACACAACUGCACCACGGGGUGCUAAUGGUGAGCAGGUGAGGAGUCAGAGCAAGUCAGAACCAAUGAAGAAAAGCCACAAAGCUCCUGUGUCUGGUUCCUGAUGCUUCCCAAAAGUGCAGUGUCUGCACACUGCUGUUGUGUCCUGGGAAAAGCGCAGGCUGCUCCUCUGAUCCGUAUCACGUUUUCAAAGUGCUCCAGUAAUUGGAUGAGUAGGUUUGGUGGGAACAUCUUUGGUUCUCAAUUCUCCCAUCAGGAAAGAUCUAAAUGAAGCUAUGUGAGCACAUCUCCAGCUCAGGCUGUUUUCCCACGUCUUUCCACUGGAUUUGUGCUCACCUGUGCUGACCAGGCCACUGGACACACAGCAAGGGGCCUGUUGGAUUAAACUUCCACUGGUGUGGAGGAAGAAAACUCACAAUCUUUGUGCAUUCAAAUAGGAGUUUCCUCCUUUUCCAGCAGCAGUUAAAUCCCAGAGCUCUGACUCCACUGAGUUCCUGAGUGCUGGAAUAAGAACUGAUUUGGGAUCUUGGUGUGCAGCUUUUGGAGAAGGGGCCAGUGCUUGUGCUUUCCCCCUUCCUCAAUCUCAUGAGCAUUCCAGGUUUCCAGAGGUUCCAGCUGGCUCUUUGCAUGCAGACUUAAGGCUGUGUGAUGGACCCUGGGGUUUGUGGACACAGAGCAAGGGGGAUGUCACAGGGGAACAGUUUUCUCUCCCACAAUGAUGGUAUGACCUUCACAGCUUCCCAAAUGCCUGGUAGUCCAGGAGAGAAGCUGAAAUUGAACCAAAAUGAAUUUGUUAGAGCUUUAAAACAGGCCAUGAGACUCUCUUUGUACAGAAGGAAUUCAGGCUGGUGGAAGGUUUCAGGGAAUGGCUGUAGGUUGUGAGCCAGGACCGUGGAUGACCACAAGUCCCUUGGACAGGCUGUGCCUGUGCACGUCCCUGCGAGCACAUUCCACCGUGGUUUCUGCACCAGUUUUUGUUAUUUCUCAAUAUUCCCACUAAUAUUUCAUGUAUUUAUCUUGGCUGUGGGUAAUUUCAGCAGUGAAAGUGCUGACUCUGAUGUCCUUCUGGGACAUUGGCUUGGGACAACCCAAAAGUUUUGUGUGGGCCUGCAAAAAAUGUUCUGCCCACUGGUCUCCAAUCCCAAGAACAUUCCUGUUUUCUCUGCAUGUCCUUUUGCACAGCACUGAUAGAAAGAUUACAUUUGUGUAGAGGAAUAACCCAACAAUUACAAAUAUUAUUUAUUUUCCAGGACUUCUUGGUCACUAGAAUGAUGGGACAGGAAAGACUGAGGUGCAGCUGGAUAACUCCAGAUCCCUCCCAAUGGAGUUUGUCUCUCCCUUCCAAAUCAGGCCAAGCAGAAUCUGCUCCUUCUCCUCAGUCAAGGGGGUGUGUGAGGAAGUGGGAGCUGGGAGAAAGGGGAAUGUUGGCUGUUGCCCUCUGGAAGGUUUUAAUGAUCUUUAGCUUCCACAUAGAAAGGCUCCAUCUGGAGCCAGGAGAGCUCCUCACUUGAGGAGUGAAAUCAAGGUCAGCUGCAGCCCUGGAGCCCGAGAUUUACCUUUCUCAAGCAUCUCACAUUUCUCUGGACCCCAGGGUUGGA